UACAGAGGGGGCCAGCGUUAUUCGGAAUUAUUGGGCGUAAAGGGCGCGUAGGCGGCCAUGCGUGUCUUCCGUGAAAUCCCUCGGCUUAACUGAGGACGUGCGGAAGAAACUGCAAGGCUUGAGUCCGGGAGAGGUAAGUGGAAUUCCUAGUGUAGCGGUGAAAUGCGUAGAGAUUAGGAAGAACACCAGUGGCGAAGGCGACUUACUGGACUGUAACUGACGCUGAGGCAUGAAAGCGUGGGGAGCAAACAGG
rnacentral:rRNA from 1 species